rnacentral:lncRNA from 1 species
CGAGGACGCGCGGCUGCGGCUCACGCCGACUUUCCCGUUGUUCCUCCCCGCUCCCUCCACUCCGACGCGUUUACUCACACCGCUAUUUCCAGCCUCCCCAUUUUUGGUAUGGGGGCUAUUUUGAGAAAACCCUUUCGGAGGUGAAACAAAACCCCUUGGUUAUACCGAGGCACGAAAACCCAUCCCCAAAAAAUCCAAAGCCAAGCCCAACUGCGUGCGCUCAGCCCGAAGCUUUUGCCAUAGGGGAGGGCUCAGCUCUGUCCCCGCAGCCCCAUGGGACAAAUCCUCACGUCCCCGCAGUCCAUUUGCCCUCGGGCUGUACAAGUCUACGUGCAGGGGAGGGGAAUUUUGUAUGUUACAUGCAAUAAAGCUGCGGUGCUUUUGGGAAUGGAAAAACCACUUGUCGCGUCGGGACACACAAGGAGGAGCCGGGAGGUGACACGCAGAUCCCCAUUGUGGGGUUAGCUCUGGAGCUUGCCCGGCUCAGGAAGCCGCACCCAGCCUGCUCCGAAUAGGAUUUAUACACUGGAUUAGCUGCCUGGCCUCGCACUGCAAUUUAACAAUCACCGGGGAUUCAUUUUGUCUCUAAGAAAAAAAAUAAAUGCGCUUUGUGGCGCAAUCCUCUGCAGGGCUGCAAUUGCCAAGGGAAAAACAAACAAACAACGCAACAACAACGCAACCAAACAUAAAAACCCCAAAUCCCUACAGCAACUCAGAGGGUUCCCGGUGGUUGGAGGCACCGUUUCCAAAAUGGCUCGAGCCGAGAGCGAGAAGAAAAAGGGGAAAAUUGGUUCUUCGUUAGAAUCUCUUUAAUCCAAUCUCUUCGUUAGUAAUCCGCAUCUCCUUCUGGAAUUAAGCCUGAGGGAAAGGAGUGCUGGAAAUCUGUUCAAGCUCAUGAUGGGAGGAGAUGGUUUAUAACCGCAACUGGUUCUGUAUUCGCGGCACAUACUCAAAAAAUAAAACGGAGCGGAUUUUAGUAGCUACUAAUGGGCAGUUAUUAUAGAAAGGGCAAUCGAAGGGAUUUAAAAGAUUUUGGAAAUUAGAGGUAUAAACCGAAAAUUCAUACAUAUGGAGAGGAAGAGAGAGGAGACUUUUUUCGAAGCUCUCCGAGACCCGGAGGGGUCUUUGCUCUCUUUUCUGUGGUCUCCUUUCCCGAUGCUCCCAGGACUGAGCGCAGCACCCGGAUUGCAGCAGCUGGGUGCUACAAAGUCGGGGGCUUUUCCCCCAUUUCAGCGCCUUUCUGCCUCUCUUCUCUUCCAAUCGCUUUCCCACUUGCUCUUUCAACAGCCUUUUGUACAGCAAUGGGGAACGUAGCCAAAAAUCCUCCAUUAAUAAAGAAUAUAAUUCCUCCUUCAGGGUCUGAUCCUGCACUGUGACCCCUCGGGGAGGCGGGGGGGCUUUUCCGUGCAGACUCGUCCCUGUCCUUUCCCCUAUGGGCCAAAGUCCAGGCUCGCUUUGCACACUGGCAGCCCGCGGUGCCUCCACCCCGCCCGGGGGCAAAGGCAGACAGCAGCCCCGGCCCCUCUCCUUGCACUUGUCCUCAGCCUUUUUCCAGAACCGAGAGCCGUCGGGGAACUGAGGAGGAGGAAAAGGAAGGAGAAAUAGGCAUAGAACCUUUAAGGGGAAAGUCGAGGAUUGAGACGCAGGAUAUCUCGGCUAGAAGGAAUGAAGAUUCGCUCCGAAGUCUCCAAGCAUCUUGGGAACCUCCUGGCUCUCACAAUGCAGUGGGAAUGGGGACAGAGAAAGACUUGAGGACGGAACCAUGGAGACAGAGGAUUCCUCACAAACCAGAAUGCCUGCCAGGGUAUGGUGGCCUGCUGUUGGGAUGGAUUUUAACCAAGGAAAAGCGGAAAAUGAAGUGCUGGGAAGGAAACCCCAUGAGUUUUGUGGUAAGCCACAGUUAUGUCCUUACAUCUGUCUGGCAUCCCUCAAAUGGGCAGAGAGGUUGAGCAAAGGCCACAGCAUUACUGGUCACCAGUGGGAAUGGAAUUGGCCAGUAGCUAUAAAUGUGUUAGAAAAGCUGUGCAGCCCAGAGGCACUGGUGCUGCUGCUGGAGCAAGAUUUGUCAUCUGCACUAGUUGAGGGCAGCACUCAGCUCCCACCUCCAGAUUCCAGCAGGGUUCACAGCAGAGAGAUGGGGAAAGGGACAUGCAUGCAGUGCUGAGGGUGAUGCCUCAGCCCCUGAGAGUCUGCAGGGUAAGAAACUUUCUGACCUGGUGGCUUUGUAUGGGUUGCUGUUGACAGUCAAAGGUGGAUGUGUCCUUUAGUAAUCUAUUGCAUCCCCCUCAGUCUCCUGUUUACAUCUUUGGCUUCUGCAGCCUCUGGUAGCAGCAAGUUUCACAGCUUAAGGGCACAUUCUGUGAGAAAAACUCUGAAACAGUGACUAAAUAUUCCCCUAAACCCUUCCCUUCUCCUUCCAGGAUGGGACAGACCUCUGUCACCUUCUGCCUUGGCCAUCUCUUGGUUCUGGCCAGUUUAGUCCUCAGUGGAUGGUACGGUCACACACAUUUUUGGUGGAGAAAGGAUUAUAUUAGAGGACAGGAGAGGCAAAGCAUCCCCGAGGUCUGGCAGGUGCAGGAGUUAAGGGCAAGGAGGGAAGGACUGCAAGGCUGUGGGAUGCAACUUUCUCCUCUCAUCCAGGAGGGGGCAAUCCGUGGCUGGAACUGAAGUGAAAGGAGCGCCGGAUAAAGAGAUUUUUCUUUUCACUGCUCCUUCCAGGGAAAAGCUCAAAUUACUGUGAUGGAGGAAGGCUGUAAAAUGAAAACACAGAUGGAGGAACUUAAAGGGACUGUGGGUUUGGGGUAGCCCGUUUUUCUUUACAUUGUGGCAUUAAUUCUUACAAACUAUCUCUCCCAAUUAAAAGGAAAAAAGAGAGUUAAACUGGAUUUUCUUUUGAAUCACCUGGAACUUUAUGCUGACUGAUGCAUAUCCAUCAG